rnacentral:piRNA from 1 species
UGUGUCCUACCCAGGUUUGUCUACACACU